rnacentral:tRNA from 1 species
GGGGUUGUGGCUCAGUGGUACAGUGCUUGCCUAGCAUGUAUGAGGCACUGGGUUUGAUCCUCAGCACCACA